rnacentral:rRNA from 1 species
AUUGAACGCUGGCGGCAGGCCUAACACAUGCAAGUCGGGCGGCAGCACAGGUACUUGUACCGGGUGGCGAGCGGCGGACGGGUGAGUAAUGCCUAGGAAUCUGCCUGGUAGUGGGGGAUAACGCUCGGAAACGGACGCUAAUACCGCAUACGUCCUACGGGAGAAAGCAGGGGACCUUCGGGCCUUGCGCUAUCAGAUGAGCCUAGGUCGGAUUAGCUAGUUGGUGAGGUAAAGGCUCACCAAGGCGACGAUCCGUAACUGGUCUGAGAGGAUGAUCAGUCACACUGGAACUGAGACACGGUCCAGACUCCUACGGGAGGCAGCAGUGGGGAAUAUUGGACAAUGGGCGAAAGCCUGAUCCAGCCAUGCCGCGUGUGUGAAGAAGGUCUUCGGAUUGUAAAGCACUUUAAGUUGGGAGGAAGGGUCGUUACCUAAUACGUGACGAUUUUGACGUUACCGACAGAAUAAGCACCGGCUAACUCUGUGCCAGCAGCCGCAGUAACAC